UUGGGCGUAAAGAGCUCGUAGGCGGCUUGGUAAGUCGGAUGUGAAACCUCCAGGCUCAACCUGGAGUCGCCAUCCGAUACUGCCAUGGCUAGAGUCCGGUAGGGGACCAUGGAAUUCCUGGUGUAGCGGUGAAAUGCGCAGAUAUCAGGAGGAACACCGAUGGCGAAGGCGGUGGGCUGGGCCGGCACUGACGCUGAGGAGCGAAAGCGUGGGGAGCGAACAGGAUUAGAUACCCUGGUAGUCCACGCCGUAAACGUUGGGCACUAGGUGUGGGGCCUUAUCAACGGGUUCCGUGCCGUAGCUAACGCAUUAAGUGCCCCGCCUGGGGAGUACGGCCGCAAGGCUAAAACUCAAAGGAAUUGACGG
rnacentral:rRNA from 1 species